rnacentral:rRNA from 1 species
CGGCCAACAAAGAGAGGCAAGACCGCGAGGUGGAGCAAAUCUCAAAAAGCCGUCCCAGUUCGGAUCGCAGGCUGCAACCCGCCUGCGUGAAGUUGGAAUCGCUAGUAAUCGCGGAUCAGCAUGCCGCGGUGAAUACGUUCCCGGGCCUUGUACACACCGCCCGUCACACCAUGAGAGUCGGGAACACCCGAAGUCCGUAGCCUAACCGCAAGGGGGGCGCGGCCGAAGGUGGGUUCGAUAAUUGGGGUGAAGUCGUAACAAGGUAAC